UGUGUGUAUUUGUGUGUGUGUAUAGCUGUAACAAUGAGAGACUCCUCAGCGGUCAGCAGCAGUGAUCACGAUGAGUUCGACAGCAGCGACAUGCACCACGUUUUGGAGAAAAGAGUCGCGGGUGGACAGCAGGUUCUCUGAUCAUACACCCUAUAGCAGGGGUAUUCAACUAAAAUUUGAAGAGGUCCAGUUAGAGAGAAUUUCUUGAAGCAAAGGAUGGUGAUUCUGGGACAGGGGAACAAUGCUUACAUAUUCCCAGGUGUGUGUGUUAGGUGUGGCUCUGGCAGAAAUUCUGAGUGGUGUUAGACACAUCAGUGAUACGGUGUUCCUCGAGGCUGCAAAGGUUACAUGUGUAUAUUGUAUGUGUGUGUAUCAGAUCUUAGCAGAGCAGUUGACGGAUGAGGAACUGAAUCAGAAUCAGGGUCGUCUCUACCCUCCUCUUUCCAACAUUAGUGAGGUUUCUUUACAGAUGGCUGUGAGGAUAAGAUUUGUGUUUAUACAUACACACAAUGUGAGUAAAAUUAUGUUGACAUCCCUUCUAAUUAUUGAGUUCAGGUGUUUAGGUCACACCCAUUGCUUCCAAGUU